GAGGGUAUAGCUCAGUGGUAAAGCUCAUGCUUAGCGUGCAUGAUAUCCUGGGUUCAAUCCCCAGUACCCUCA
rnacentral:tRNA from 1 species